GUUCACGUUAAAGAUUUUGUUGUUUUGAUGGGUUUAACAUCCUCAACAGCUGAUGAAAAAGCUAUAAACAAUUAAAAGCUGAUUCCAUUAAAACCUCUUGUAUGCCUGUUAAUGUUAAGUUCCUAUUUCAAACUGAGGUGAAAAGAGCCUUUGUAAUGAAGUUCAGAUUUUAUGCUGCUUGCUGUAAAGGGGGCUGUGCUAGCAGUGAUACUUUUUACUAAUGUCACUGCCAGUUGCUCCUUAUGGUGAUUUGCUUGUUCUAGGAUGAACUAGAGUUUACUCAUUUAUUUCUCAUGGUUACCCUAAGAAUUUUGAUCUGAAAAAAAUCCAUUUACAACUAAGAGUUAAACUACGUUUAUCCAUUGCAUCACAAGAAUGCCUUUCUUCAGGGCAGCCCUCAUGAAACUACUUAAAGUGAUUCUGUGCACUUCAGAAAUUAUGUCAGCAUGCUGGGAAUGGAGGGGAGGUAUUUGGGAUGCCCAGUAACAUCUAUUUCUGGUUGAAGAUGGACACCCAGGAGAGAAUGGAACUGUUCUGCAAGAGGAGAGGCCUUGAUUCUUUGUCCCACUACCUCCCUGUGAAAUCAGCCCAGAUAGCUGCAUUUUUAGAGUGGAUGCUGUGUACUUGUUCUUCCUGACCCUAAGGGUUUUGGUGCUCUGACCACACAGCCAUCAUACAGGUGUUGGACACCACUUCUUUUCAGCCUGGUUCUGUCACUGCAUGGUAGGCAACAGUUUGUGCUGUGUGAACCAGAGCAUCACAGCACCAUCAUUCCUACAGCUCUGACUCAGGUGGGUAGAGAUGGGUGCUUGGGACCCUCCUGUGUGGAGCAAUAGUGGUCAGGAUGUGCAGAGCAACUGUGACAUUCAGCAAGAUUUUUGGUUGGGCCAGGAGCCCCCAGAUUGGCUAGGUACUCUCAGUAUCAUCUGCUGAGCAGGGAUUGUUUUUAUCUGUGAUUUUGGAGGCUGGCACAACAUUUUAGAGCCUGGUUGCCUGAGUUUUGCAUCAGGGUCUGACUUCUGCUACAAACCUGGCUGUAAAUGUUGGGCAACAAUAGUUUUAACAUAAUCACAGGUGGUGCUUUUGGGGACAUCCAUGUGACAAGAUUAUAAGCAUUUAUCCCAAGAGUAAGAUUUCAUGUACCUUUUAAUUUUGUUUGAGGAUCAAUCAUGUUUAAUAUUUCCCACAGAAAUAUUCCAUGUUGUAAUUACUUGCAUAUGCCCUCUUAAUUAAAACGUAAAGAAAAUAAAAAUGUUUUCUCCAUGAAAUUAAUAAAAGAA
rnacentral:lncRNA from 1 species